GGGCCGUUAGCUCAGUUGGUAGAGCAGCGGACUUUUAAUCCGCGUGUCGCAGGUUCGAGCCCUGCACGGCUCACCA
rnacentral:tRNA from 1 species